ACCCGAAUCCUCGUGCCCUCGACGCGGCCUCGGAGACCCGCCAUUGCGGAACCCCUCCAUCUCUCAGACCACAUCGCCGCCGCCGCCGACCUCUCCCAGUCCCUCUCGUACCACGCCGCCGGCCCCCCUCCCCUCCCCUCCCCUCAUCAGAAAGAAGGAGAGACAGGGAUGCUCUUCCUCAGACGGCGGCGGCGGCCAGAUCGAGCAGGGCAGGGCACCACACGGCGCUCUCCGAUCCGCCACGGUCGCAAGAGGAAUCGCGCCGGAUGGGAGAGGACCGUCUGCUACGACUGCUUCGUGCGUCGUUGUUGGAGAUGCUCGCGCGCCGGGAGCUUCCUCCGCUCUCCCCCUGCCCCGACCGUAGACGCAGCAGCAGCGCACACCGCCAUUGGUUGUGGCUGGUUGUACCUCGGAGCUCCUUCCUUCCUGCUUCCCCUGAUUGCGCCUCCGGGGACUAGCGAUGAACUUGUUUUCUGGAUCCCAAAUGGAGGAUGAAGUUGAAUAUAUAUACUACAGCCGGAUGAUCAAGUCCAAGUAUUCGUAUGUUGCUAUAUUGUUAGUCACUAGCAUGUGCCCAUGGCACCCAAGCUGGCGUAGGCGCUGCAGAUUGCCCUCUCGCCAAAGCCUCAACCAGCUGGUGAAAUAGCUGCAGAAUUACAGUGUACCUCAAAUUUCAUAAUUGGGAACUGCAGUCAUGGGUAUCUUGUGGCUUCAUCAGUUCAUCACUAUCUUAUAAGGCGGGAAUUACUCAGCACAAUAUUACUCAUGCACUGGAAAAGACCAAAUAUCCAGAUCGAGACAUACUGGAGGAAAUUUGAUGAGAAGUAUCAUUUUUCUUAUUUUCAGAACACUAAGGGCAUAUUUUGGCUUGGAAUGCUGAUGGUUGGGCGAACGCCAUGGAUCAUGGCAAGUGCGAUUUUCAGAACACUAAGGGCAUAUCUUGGCUUGGAAUGCUCAUGGUUCGACGAACGUCAUGGAUCAUGGCAAGUGCUCCUCUCCACUUCCCCUCCCUGCUAAAAAUCAGUUCCAAUUGUUGUACAAGUUUCCCGAUAUGGCUUUCUGAAUUUUAAUUUGUCGCUUGUUCUGUCGUACUCGGUGGUUAUUGUUUGGCCUACAUAUAGAGGUAAAUGUUUUGUAUGAGAUUAUUUAUCCGGACCUCACCGAUGAUUACUUGAACUCAGGUUGGACAACAUAUGAAAUGUUAAAUUUAGCAAGAUAUUGCGAUUCGAUUUCUCUUUCAAUGUCAUCAUCCUGCAAUGGAUGUGUAUGUCUAUUUUGUCAUCUAGUUGCGAUGCAUGGGCACUUUCAUUUGAUUAUACAGUUC